UCGGAUCGAAGUCCAGCAACGGAUAAAGAGACAAAAUACAGCGAAAAAAGCGGUGAACUAAUGCAAAGUGGGCAUGUCAGUGAUCCUGGGAUUAUUGGGAGGGGAGACUUCUGGGAUUCUCCCAAGCUCACUCGAUCAUGCUCAAACCUGGAAAGAAGGGAUGUUCUUGGUAAUACAAUUCAUCAAUUCCCAGAUUCAAAGUCACAAUCUUUCGAGAAUUUACAGGAACUUACAGCAGGUAAAGUGGCUGCUAAUCUUGAAAGCCCCAGGUCUGUGAUGACUCACUGCAGUGCUGAUAGAGUUAUGUUGAGAAGGCAUUCCUCAAGCCAAGUUCUUCCUUCUGGAAGUAAGAGACUCUGGUGGAAGAUGUUCC
rnacentral:lncRNA from 1 species